GAUGCCCGCCGCGAGGACUGCAACUGUUAGUGCUGCAAUCGCACCUGAAAGGGAAGCAGACACAAAACAACGGGAGUGGAAUGAGCAAAAGAACGGCUCAACGGCUCCUAGGGGUUCCUGAGAUGGAGCUCUGAUUGUCAGACUUUACUGAGCCAUCUCCCCAGCCUAAAAGGCCAGAAGAGGGCACCAGAUCUCAUUACAGAUGGUUGUGAGCCAU